rnacentral:rRNA from 1 species
UAUACAUGCAAGUCGAGCGGAAUGAUGAAGAAGCUUGCUUCUUCUGAUUUUAGCGGCGGACGGGUGAGUAACACGUGGGCAACCUACCUUGUAGAUUGGGAUAACUCCGGGAAACCGGGGCUAAUACCGAAUAAUCCAUUUUGCUUCAUGGCAAGAUGUUGAAAGGCGGCUUCGGCUGUCACUACGAGAUGGGCCCGCGGCGUAUUAGCUAGUUGGUAGGGUAAUGGCCUACCAAGGCGACGAUACGUAGCCGACCUGAGAGGGUGAUCGGCCACACUGGGACUGAGACACGGCCCAGACUCCUACGGGAGGCAGCAGUAGGGAAUCUUCCACAAUGGACGAAAGUCUGAUGGAGCAACGCCGCGUGAGUGAAGAAGGUUUUCGGAUCGUAAAACUCUGUUGUAAGGGAAGAACACGUACGAGAGUAACUGCUCGUACCUUGACGGUACCUUAUUAGAAAGCCACGGCUAACUACGUGCCAGCAGCCGCGGUAAUACGUAGGUGGCAAGCGUUGUCCGGAAUUAUUGGGCGUAAAGCGCGCGCAGGCGGUUCUUUAAGUCUGAUGUGAAAGCCCACGGCUCAACCGUGGAGGGUCAUUGGAAACUGGAGAACUUGAGUACAGAAGAGGAAAGCGGAAUUCCACGUGUAGCGGUGAAAUGCGUAGAGAUGUGGAGGAACACCAGUGGCGAAGGCGGCUUUCUGGUCUGUAACUGACGCUGAGGCGCGAAAGCGUGGGGGAGCAAACAGGAUUAGAUACCNCUGGUAGUCCACGCCGUAAACGAUGAGUGCUAAGUGUUA